CACAGUUAGAAAAGAUGUUUUCAAAGAUUCUCGCAUUCCUUUCUAACCAUAAACCAUAGAGCAUUUCUGUUACUGUCAUCUUGAUUGUAUGAGCUCGGGGAGAUUUCCCUUUAGAUUGAUUAAUGAACCAUUGGCAAAAUUGUGACCAAUUCUGCCCAGUGAAGUCUUCAACUCCAAUCCAUUGUAGUGUCUGGUAUCUCAGCUGGGAUGCAAAAG
rnacentral:lncRNA from 1 species